rnacentral:lncRNA from 1 species
GCUGUGUGUGAGUUGCUGUCUUUAUGGUGGUUCAGUGGGGUUAAACCUGGGCUGAUAUCACAUGUGAAAAUGUCUCCCAGACUCUGCUCGAGUCCCUCCUCUUGGUGCCACAGGAAGUGGGGCUCUGUGCAGUAGGGAGUGGGGUGUUCCUUCUCUCCCCUGCUCCUACCUGCUCACCUUUCACAGGCUCACUGCCUCCUCUGCCAGGAGCAGCAAUUCCCUAGGGGUACACAGGCCAAAAAGAGAGACCGACUCAGCCAAAAUCCAAAAAUAUCUUCACUGCAGCAAGCAAACAAACGAUGGAGAGAAGGAAAAUUUCCCCUGCAAGCCCUGGAUAUGUCUCAAAGACAGCCCACUCAGCUUAUGUAAGUGGCCUUCACCACUAAGGAAUGCAACCAAGGCCCGAAUCUAGGACAACUCUGCCAAUUACACGCUAAUGAAAAGGGCUAUAGAUAAUAUUCUGAGCCAUGUCUGGGAGCUGUUUUGCCGAUACUGAAACCCCCACCAGGUGGAAGACGCUAACUAUAUGCUAUUCACGGACAUGUAGACCCCAGAAGAUUGAUGAUGUUUACUCCUGAUUACCUCAUCACCAACUGAUCAGAAAAAUGUCCGUGAGCUGAUCACAUACCCCACAACCCCCCUUCCUCAUCUUGUCCUUGAAAACCUUUCCCUGAAAGCCUUUGGGGAGUUUGGGCCUUUCAAGCACUAGCUGUCUGGACUCCUUGCUUGGCACCCAGCAAUAAAUACUGCACUUUCCUUUACAACAACCCAGUGUCAAG